rnacentral:lncRNA from 1 species
CUCGGUCGAAGCUUGUGUUGGCAAUGAUGAUGGCUUUGGACGUUCAUAGGCUUCAAAUCUAAGAGCAUGAGAUGGAACCUCAUGAUGAUCUUGGGAAUGGUAAUCAGUUGUUUCCAGCAUACAAGAGCGCUCUCUCUCAGAUAUAUAAGGUUGCGCUCCACUCUCAAUAGCUUGUUGGAUGUAGCCAUUGAGAAAUGAAAGAUCUUUAUCAACCUAAAUUCAGGAAAAAAAAAAGAAUGACUGUGAGAUUCAGGAAAUUCACGUUACAAGGGAAUGCAUAGGGAUUGGAUUUUCCUUGGGGGGUUUGCUAGCUGUUCCUUUUGCUGGCUUGUGUCCACCAGAAGAUGACUUCCUAUCAGAUCUUGACGAUGAUGAUCCACCAAACAAGGAUGCAGCGAGUCUCUGUUUCUCAGGAUCAAUUUCGGGUUUCUUUGAUUCAUAACUGCUUCGAGGUUUUAAGCUAGAUGAGCCAACUCCAACAUCCGGGUGACUACUGGUACCAUUUGCUGCUUGCGGAGGAGUAGAAGAAGCGGAUGUGGACGACUGAUAGCUGGGUCUACCCCAUUUUUGUUUAACUCCAUCGAGUCGCAGCUUGAUUUCUGAUGACUCUCGUUCAGACACGGAAGAAGUUGAAAUUGGCUGGUGUGCCUCGCUGUAAUAAGAAGGCUCGGGUACUGGAACAAGCUCGGUCGAAGCUUGUGUUGGCAAUGAUGAUGGCUUUGGACGUUCAUAGGCUUCAAAUCUAAGAGCAUGAGAUGGAACCUCAUGAUGAUCUUGGGAAUGGUAAUCAGUUGUUUCCAGCAUACAAGAGCGCUCUCUCUCAGAUAUAUAAGGUUGCGCUCCACUCUCAAUAGCUUGUUGGAUGUAGCCAUUGAGAAAUGAAAGAUCUUUAUCAACCU